UACGGGGGGAGCAAGCGUUGUUCGGAUUUACUGGGCGUAAAGGGCGCGUAGGCGGCGCAACAAGUCACUUGUGAAAUCUCCGGGCUUAACCCGGAGCGGCCAAGUGAUACUGUCAUGCUAGAGUGCGGAAGGGGCUACUGGAAUUCUCGGUGUAGCGGUGAAAUGCGUAGAUAUCGAGAGGAACACCUGCGGCGAAGGCGGGUAGCUGGGCCGACACUGACGCUGAGGCGCGAAAGCCAGGGGAGCGAACGGG
rnacentral:rRNA from 1 species